rnacentral:rRNA from 1 species
UUGCCAUCGAUUAAGUUGGGCACUUUAAGGAAACUGCCGGUGAUAAGCCGGAGGAAGUGGGGAUGACGUCAAGUCCUCAUGGCCCUUACAGGCUGGGCUACACACGUGCUACAAUGGCAUCUACAGUGGGCAGCUAUUCCGCAAGGAUGCGCUAAUCUCCAAAAGAUGUCUCAGUUCGGAUUGUCCUCUGCAACUCGAGGGCAUGAAGGCGGAAUCGCUAGUAAUCGCGGAUCAGCAUGCCGCGGUGAAUACGUUCCCAGGCCUU